UAACGUCAGCGGCAGACGGGUGAGUAACGCGUGGGAACAUACCUUUGGUUCGGAACAACACAGGGAAACUUGUGCUAAUACCGGAUAAGCCCUUACGGGGAAAGAUUUAUCGCCGAAAGAUUGGCCCGCGUCUGAUUAGCUAGUUGGUGAGGUAACGGCUCACCAAGGCGACGAUCAGUAGCUGGUCUGAGAGGAUGAUCAGCCACAUUGGGACUGAGACACGGCCCAA
rnacentral:rRNA from 1 species